GAUGAACGCUGGCGGCGUGCCUAAUACAUGCAAGUCGAGCGAACGGACGAGAAGCUUGCUUCUCUGAUGUUAGCGGCGGACGGGUGAGUAACACGUGGAUAACCUACCUAUAAGACUGGGAUAACUUCGGGAAACCGUAGCUAAUACCGGAUAAUAUUUUGAACCGCAUGGUUCAAAAGUGAAAGACGGUCUUGCUGUCACUUAUAGAUGGAUCCGCGCUGCAUUAGCUAGUUGGUAAGGUAACGGCUUACCAAGGCAACGAUGCAUAGCCGACCUGAGGGGGUGAUCGGCCACACUGGAACUGAGACACGGUCCAGACUCCUACGGGAGGCAGCAGUAGGGAAUCUUCCGCAAUGGGCAAAAGCCUGACGGAGCAACGCCGCGUGAGUGAUGAAGGUCUUCGGAUCGUAAAACUCUGUUAUUAGGGAAGAACAUAUGUGUAAGUAACUGUGCACAUCUUGACGGUACCUAAUCAGAAAGCCACGGCUAACUACGUG
rnacentral:rRNA from 1 species